GCGGGAGUGGGAAGACCACAUUUUUGAAAGCCCAUGAUCUGAAAAGUACAGUUUGGGUGGAGCAGGACAGCUCCACCCAGAACCUGGAGGACUUUAGCAAAUACAUUAAUGAUUACCAGGAAAGUGUUGUUGGAUUUAUCCAGGAGUUGGAUAAUCAUGAAUUCUCCGUAGCACAUACUAAACUUAGAAGCAAUAAAUCCAGAAAGCAGAAGAAGAUAAAGAAUCUGGAAGGCCUAGUCGCAAUUCGUGGAGAAUUAAUAACAGAGGCAGCCAACUACUAUCCUGGAGGUAUU